GGACAGAGACCAUGGUGGCAAGCGGGCAGACACGGUGCCUAAGAGGUAGCAGCUGAGAGUUCUACAUCCAGCCUCUAUAAGGACCCAGAAGGUCAAGUUUUCAUGAACUGAUGAGGGAUGGACACACUGAUUCCUAGAGGGUGAUGACCACAGACGGUAUGGAAGGAGGUGAUCUCUUCGCAAACGCCUUACCCGACGACACUUGGUGCGAUGAGCCUGGACAUCGGAAGAGCAAAGCUGAGAUUCUGGACUUGCGCAUCCAGCUGGUAGCUGAACUGAAAAAGUCAAAUUAUGAUCAAAGGGAUGCUUUCCACAGUGGACGGAGCUCUAGGAAACCAGCAGAAGCAGCGGCAUGUGCCAGACAGACUACAAAGAGCCGAGUCGGGUGGCAGGAGGGAUUUUGAAGCCUGGAUGCGGCUUUGCUGGGGGCCGUAUCUAGGGACAGACAUUUAAUCAAAAGAGCAUGGUCUUAAUCUGCUUAACUCCCUUUCUCAAGGCGACAGCAAAGGAAGUUUUCUUUUGUUUGAUUUUACCAAAGGGGGACCCCCGCCCCACCACUCCACGGGCUUCUCCAUAUUCUUUGCAUGGAAGUUCAUUAAGCCCAGUUCUUGGUAGAGUACUGCAGAGCUUGUUGUGCACAGGCCGACUUCAAAGGUUCGUAGUGACAGAUUGUGCUGCUGGGAUGCAACAGGGUGGACCCAAGCGAGGAAAAGGAGGGGCCUCUAAAGGGAAUCGCCGAGUGAAAAAAGAAAGAUAAUAAUUUUACCGUCUUUAAUUUUCUCUUUAAAUCUGAUGUCUCCCCCCCUCUUCCUUGGUUUUGAAAACUACAGUUAAGUUUACUUAAAAAGUUGGGUGGCUGUGAAAAACAGCUGUAAUUCAUGUGUGGCAUUGCCAUUAUUAAAAAUUAAAGAAGAAGGCAUGAGAUCAGCAAGAACAACUUGUCUUUCUGAGGCAGGGUAGAAGGAGAAAAAUAAGGGGUACAGGAAUGGAAAGGGAGCCCCCACUCUGGAAUCUGGCUGGAGUCUGAGGAAUCCUGGCAUAAUCAGCAGUUUCGGUGAAGGUUGCCAGCACAGAGAGUCUUCCUUUUAAAUGUGCAGCGACGAGCCUUGCUUCAGGUCUAAGCCCGUGUAACCUCAAGCAUGGCUUUUCUCCCUUUCAGAUGCAAGCCCGUGAUUUCUGAGGCUCUCACAGAUAUGCUCUAACUGUGCUAACAGUAAACAGCAGGUCUAACACCCUGUGCAACCCUUGAGACUCUUGGUGGUGCGUUAUGGGGCUGGAAUUGUAUCCAUGGGCAUCAGAAACCACCCUAGACUCAUUUGCCAGAGAAUACAGUUCCCUAAAAACACUUUGAGAGGUAACUUCAGAGGCCUGCCAGAAUCAUCUGUGUGGCUGCUGUGAUGGCGUAUGUGCGACUCUCUCUUGAGAAGCGUUCUGUCUGUAUUUGGAUGUUGUGAAUGUUAUGUUGUUAAUCUGACAAAAAUCUGGAAUCGCCUGGGAGAAAGGCCCUGAGCAAGACACAUGUGUUAGCAUAUUCUGGUCACCUUGGUUGAUGCUAGCAAGUUUGCCCACUGUGGGAGGAGCCAUUCCCUGCCCGGGCCCUGGACUGGCGAGGAGGAGCUGAGCAGCGAGCCUGAGUUCAUUGCUCUGUCUUCUGACUGUAGAUUCGAUGUGAGCGUCUGCUUCCAUCUCCUGCUGCCUUCCUUCCCUACCAUGUCGAACUGUGCCUUGGAUUAUGAGCUAAAACCAUCUUUUCUUCUUUGUUUUCGUUAGUAUUUUAUCACUGCAGCAGGAAGAGGGACAGAGACCUCUGUACAAUCCUUUUCCUAAGCACCUCUCUCCCUUCAUGUCUGUAGCUAAAAUUCCCUUUGUCUGUGUAUGUGUGUGUGUGUGUGUGUGUGUGUGAGCACUCACGUGUGAUCCUAGCACCUGCGUGUUUGUACAGAUAUGCAUGCAUGUAUGUGAGCAGCAGGGGACACCUGAGGUUCACACCAGGAGUCUCCUUCAGUUGCUUUUCCUCUGUACUCACUGAGGCAGCGUCUCUCAAGUGAAUGGAGAACUAGCCAGGAUGGGUCGUCUCCUAUCAGGCUUGCCCUGGGGAUCCCCUGUUUUGCUUUCGGGGCAGGCUGCAGUUGGAGGUGAGCUGCCUCCCCCGCCUGGCGUUUGCAUGAGUUUGGGGGAUCUGAACUCUGGUUCUCAUGCUUAUGCUGCAAGCAUUUUAUCCCCUGGGCCAUUUCUCCAGCUCCUUAAAAUGCCUCCCUAAGGAACUCCAAUUCUGCUUUGUGACAAUCUUCUGGACAUUCUUGCUCAGGUCUCAGAGUACAACUAUGUCUACAGACUCCCAGCUCAUGCUAUGCUGUUUGGGUUUGGUAUUUUUAUUGCUCAGAAAAUUGCUAAGUAGAGAACAACAUUUAGAAUGUUUUUUUUAAAUGUUGUGAUAGUUGAUUUGUUGUUGUUGCUUGACAAAAAUACCAGACAAAAAGCACCUUUGUUAAGUGAAGCUUUUUCUUUGCCAGCCGCUUUGGUUUAUCUCCCGCCAGUUGCCUGGGCUCUGCCGCUUUGUAGUCCCCAAAUAAACACACAAGACGCUGUAUUAAUUAUGAA